rnacentral:rRNA from 1 species
GACGAACGCUGGCGGCGUGCCUAAUACAUGCAAGUCGAACGGGUGGCGGACGGGUGAGUAAUGUCUGGGAACCUGCCUGAUGGAGGGGGAUAACUACUGGAAACGGUAGCUAAUACCGCAUACCGUCCGUUGUGCCCAGAUUGGAUUAGCGAGUAGGUGGGGUAAAGGCUCACCUAGGCGACGAUCCCUAGCUGGUCUGAGAGGAUGACCGGCCACACUGGAACUGAGACACGGCCCAGACUCCUACGGGAGGCAGCAGUGUGGAAUAUUGCACAAUGGGCGCAAGCCUGAUGCAGCAACGCCGCGUGUAUGAAGAAGGCCUUCGGGUUGUAAAGUACUUUCAGCGGGGAGGCGUUACCCGCAGAAGAAGCACCGGCUAACUCCGUGCCAGCAGCCGCGGUAAUUC